rnacentral:tRNA from 1 species
GGGGAUGUAGCUUAAUCAGGUUAGAGCGUCGGCUUGUCAAGCCGAAGGUUACGAGUUCAAAUCUCGUCAUCCUCG